GGUCUUUAGCAGGGUUAUUGAUAGGAAUCAACCGUUUAUUCGCUGACGCAGUAUCAAUCACCAUUGGUUGUUCUUCCACUGUUUAAGAUACAGAUUUAAGAGCAAAGCAAUUUGAAUGCUUGUAAUUGUUACUCUUGCAUCCAAUUUUCCCCAGGAAUUACAGGAUCAACAAUCCCAUCAAACAUAUUACUUUUAACGUGGCUUAACAGGAUCAAC
rnacentral:lncRNA from 1 species